rnacentral:lncRNA from 1 species
ACGCUGUUUUCCUUAAAAUGUUACUACUGUGUUGGUGAGUACCUAAUUAUGGUUUUCCUAGGAUUUAUUUACUUUUCUUUAUAACAUUCACUUCUUGAGAGUAGAUCACUUAUUUGGAAACAUUUAUCAUUGUCUUGUGCCUAUCACAAUGCAAGCCAUUAGAGAUAGGCAUGGUACAAAACAGUCAUGGUUUCAAGACGUAUUUGUUAGGCUGCUAUCCUCACCGAGAAAUGUCUUCCAGGUUGUUUCCGCUGUCAGUAUGUUUUAAAAUAUUCUUCAUGUCUUUUCUAAUGCUUUGCUACUCUAGGUUUUGUGGAAUCCAUGUUCUUUAUGUCCCUAGUUAUGCCUCCAAUAACAUUUCUCAUAAAUUUUUAGCUGUAAAAUUAAAUGUAAUUCAUCUAAAUAUUUCAUUUAAAAAUCAUUUUCAUAUACUUUCAAUAAAGAAUCUGGUCUCAAAUAAGUAAAAACAAACAAGACAGUAGGGAAUCCUAAGAAGACAAACCACCUCUGACGGGAGUGGGUGCAGGUGUUCAGACAUGCAUGAGAAAUGGGAAGAGUAUCACACUUCAGUUAUGGAUUUCUAGAUACAUCUAUGUAUCAUAUGUGUGUGUGUGUUAGUAUGCCACAUAGUUAGUACUCAAUCCCCAUUUGA